rnacentral:rRNA from 1 species
GACGAACCGUGCGAACGUUGUUCGGAAUCACUGGGCUUAAAGGGCGCGUAGGCGGGCUGCCAAGUCCGUAGGUGAAAUCCCCCGGCUCAACCGGGGAACGGCCUCGGAUACUGGCGGCCUGGAGGGGGGUAGGGGCGUGCGGAACUGUGGGUGGAGCGGUGAAAUGCGUUGAUAUCCUAAGGAACACCGGUGGCGAAAGCGGCUCACUGGAUCUCUUCUGACGCUGAGGCACGAAAGCUAGGGUAGCGAACGGG